GGGAAUAUUGGACAAUGGGCGCAAGCCUGAUCCAGCCAUGCCGCGUGAGUGAUGAAGGCCUUAGGGUUGUAAAGCUCUUUUACUCGGGAAGAUAGUGACGGUACCGAGGGAAUAAGCCCCGGCUAACUUCGUGCCAGCAGCCGCGGUAAUACGAAGGGGGCUAGCGUUGUUCGGAUUUACUGGGCGUAAAGCGCACGUAGGCGGAUUUUUAAGUCAGGGGUGAAAUCCCGAGGCUCAACCUCGGAACUGCCUUUGAUACUGGGGAUCUUGAGUCCGGAAGAGGUGAGUGGAACUGCGAGUGUAGAGGUGAAAUUCGUAGAUAUUCGCAAGAACACCAGUGGCGAAGGCGGCUCACUGGUCCGGAACUGACGCUGAGGUGCGAAAGCGUGGGGAGCAAACA
rnacentral:rRNA from 1 species